AGGACUAACGCUGGCGGCGUGCCUAACACAUGCAAGUCGAACGAGGGGUAGCAAUACCCCUAGUGGCAGACGGGUGAGUAACACGUAGUCAACCUACCUCUUAAUGGGGGAUAACUAGCCGAAAGGUUAGCUAAUACCGCAUACGAUCGUCGAGUGGCAUCACACGACGAUGAAAGGAGCAAUCCGUUGAGAGAGGGGACUGCGUCCCAUUAGUUAGUUGGUGGGGUAAUGGCCUACCAAGACUCCGAUGGGUAGCUGGCUUGAGAGAGCGACCAGCCACACUGGAACUGAGACACGGUCCAGACUCCUACGGGAGGCAGCAGUGAGGAAUUUUCCGCAAUGGGGGAAACCCUGACGGAGCGACGCCGCGUGUGGGAAGAAGGCCUUCGGUCGUAACCACUGUCGAGGGGACGAUAUUGACGGUACCCCUGGACGGAAGCCCCGGCUAACUACGCGCUAGCAGCCGC
rnacentral:rRNA from 1 species